GCAGUACUUGCUCCGUCCGGAAUUACUUGUCGACUUAUUGUAAAAAUGGAUGUAUCUAGACGUAUUUUAGUUCUAGAUACAUAUACUUUUAUUCAUUUUUGAGACAAGUAAUUCGGGACUGAGAGAGUAGUAC
rfam:Triticum aestivum genome assembly, contig: Triticum_aestivum_CS42_TGACv1_scaffold_177602_2DS